UAAUCUGUAGUGUAACGGCAGCACGUAAGAAUUUGACUCUUACAGUAUAGGUUCGAAUCCUAUCGGAUUAA
rnacentral:tRNA from 1 species